CCCUUAGAUGUUCUGGGCUGCACGCGCGCUACACUGAUGCGCUCAACGAGUUUUAACCUUGCCUGGAAAGGUUGGGUAAUCUUUUUAAAACGCAUCGUGAUGGGGAUAGAUUAUUGCAAUUAUUAAUCUUCAACGAGGAAUUCCUAGUAAACGCAAGUCAUCAGCUUGCAUUGAUUACGUCCCUGCCCUUUGUACACACCGCCCGUCGCACCUACCGAUUGAAUGGUCCGGUGAAAUCUCCGGACUGGCGUGAGUCGGAGCAAUCUGACAAACGCCGGAAAGUUGAUUAAACCUUACCAUUUAGAGGAAGGUGAAGUCGUAACA
rnacentral:rRNA from 1 species